rnacentral:rRNA from 1 species
AUUGAACGCUGGCGGCAUGCCUUACACAUGCAAGUCGAACGGCAGCACGGGAGCAAUCCUGGUGGCGAGUGGCGAACGGGUGAGUAAUACAUCGGAACGUACCUGGUAGUGGGGGAUAGCCCGGCGAAAGCCGGAUUAAUACCGCAUACGACCUGAGGGUGAAAGCGGGGGAUCGCAAGACCUCGCGCUAUUGGAGCGGCCGAUGGCAGAUUAGGUAGUUGGUGGGUAAAGGCCUACCAAGCCUACGAUCUGUAGCUGGUUUGAGAGGACGACCAGCCACACUGGGACUGAGACACGGCCCAGACUCCUACGGGAGGCAGCAGUGGGGAAUUUUGGACAAUGGGCGCAAGCCUGAUCCAGCCAUGCCGCGUGCGGGAAGAAGGCC